rnacentral:misc_RNA from 1 species
GAUGAAGAACGUAGCGAAAUGCGAUAAGUAGUGUGAAUUGCAGAAUUCCGUGAAUCAUCGAAUCUUUGAACGCACAUUGCGCCUUCUGGUAUUCCGGAAGGCAUGCCUGUUCGAGAGUCAUUAACAACCGUUUCGAUCCCUUUCUUUCAGAAAUUACAAAGAGGAAAAGGGUUUGGUUAUGGUGGAGGAGGGAAAGGGAGCGUUUAGCCUGUAAAAAAAGAGGCUGUGUUCCGCCUCCCCCCCAAAAUUGUACAGGCGGUCGUGUGCGCCCACGCAUCGAGGUGUUGUAUAAGCUGCCACGGCACUUUUCACCUGUGCAGUGCGAGAUUGGCCAGCCGGUUUAAAAACCCCUCCAAACAAUCAAAGGUUGACCUCGGAUCAGGUAGGGAUACCCGCUGAACUUAAGCAUAUCAAUAAGCGGAGGA